UUGGAGGGCAAGUCUGGUGCCAGCAGCCGCGGUAAUUCCAGCUCCAAUAGCGUAUAUUAAAGUUGUUGCAGUUAAAAAGCUCGUAGUUGAAUUUCGGGGUUAGUAGGUUGGUCAUGCCUCUGGUAUGUACUGGUCUCACUGAUUCCUCCUUCCUGAUGAGCCGUAAUGCCAUUUAUUUGGUGUUUUGGGGAAUUUGGACUGUUACUUUGAAAAAAUUAGAGUGUUUAAAGCAAGCUAACGCUUGAAUACAUUAGCAUGGAAUAAUGAAAUAGGACGUUCGAUCCUAUUUUGUUGGUUUCUAGGAUUGACGUAAUGAUUAAUAGGGAUAGUUGGGGGCAUUAGUAUUCAAUUGUCAGAGGUGAAAUUCUUGGAUUUAUUGAAGACUAACUACUGCGAAAGCAUUUGCCAAGGAUGUUUUCAUUAAUCAAGAACGAAAGUUAGGGGAUCGAAGACGAUCAGAUACCGUCGUAGUCUUAACCAUAAACUAUGCCGACUAGGGAUCGGAUGAUGUUAAUUUUUUAAUGACUCAUUCGGCGCCUUACGGGAAAC
rnacentral:rRNA from 1 species